rnacentral:rRNA from 1 species
UGUGAUGCCCUUAGAUGUUCUGGGCUGCACGCGCGCUACACUGAUGCACUCAACGAGUUUACGACCUUGCCCGAUAGGGUUGGGUAAUCUUUUUAAAAUGCAUCGUGAUGGGGAUAGAUUAUUGCAAUUAUUAAU